rnacentral:rRNA from 1 species
GGGGAAUUUUGGACAAUGGGCGAAAGCCUGAUCCAGCCAUUCCGCGUGAGUGAAGAAGGCCUUCGGGUUGUAAAGCUCUUUCGGCAGGAAAGAAAUCGUUACUCAUAAUACGAGUGAUGGAUGACGGUACCUGAAGAAGAAGCACCGGCUAACUACGUGCCAGCAGCCGCGGUAAUACGUAGGGUGCGAGCGUUAAUCGGAAUUACUGGGCGUAAAGCGUGCGCAGGCGGUUUUGCAAGUCAGAUGUGAAAGCCCCGGGCUCAACCUGGGAACGGCGUUUGAAACUACAAGGCUAGAGUGUGUCAGAGGGGGGUAGAAUUCCACGUGUAGCAGUGAAAUGCGUAGAGAUGUGGAGGAAUACCGAUGGCGAAGGCAGCCCCCUGGGAUAACACUGACGCUCAUGCACGAAAGCGUGGGGAGCAAAC